rnacentral:rRNA from 1 species
UACGAAGGGGGCUAGCGUUGUUCGGAUUUACUGGGCGUAAAGCGCACGUAGGCGGAUCGUUAAGUCGGGGGUGAAAUCCUGGAGCUCAACUCCAGAACUGCCUUCGAUACUGGCGAUCUUGAGUCCGGAAGAGGUGAGUGGAACUCCUAGUGUAGAGGUGGAAUUCGUAGAGAUCCGGAGGAACACCAGUGGCGAAGGCGGCUCACUGGCCCGGUACUGACGCUGAGGUGCGAAAGCGUGGGGAGCAAACAGG